rnacentral:rRNA from 1 species
AACGAACGCUGGCGGCAUGCCUAACACAUGCAAGUCGAACGAGACCUUCGGGUCUAGUGGCGCACGGGUGCGUAACACGUGGGAAUCUGCCCUUUGCUUCGGAAUAACAGUUAGAAAUGACUGCUAAUACCGGAUGAUGUCGAAAGACCAAAGAUUUAUCGGCAAAGGAUGAGCCCGCGUAGGAUUAGGUAGUUGGUGGGGUAAAGGCCUACCAAGCCGACGAUCCUUAGCUGGUCUGAGAGGAUGAUCAGCCACACUGGGACUGAGACACGGCCCAGACCCCUACGGGAGGCAGCAGUGGGGAAUAUUGGACAAUGGGCGAAAGCCUGAUCCAGCAAUGCCGCGUGAGUGAUGAAGGCCUUAGGGUUGUAAAGCUCUUUUACCAGGGAUGAUAAUGACAGUACCUGGAGAAUAAGCUCCGGCUAACUCCGUG